CUUGGUCAUUUAGAGGAAGUAAAAGUCGUAACAAGGUUUCUGUAGGUGAACCUGCAGAAGGAUCAUUAGAUUGUAUUUAGGGGGGGGGGAGAGCAUGCUCUCUCUCUUCCCAACUUUCGAUCCACCAUAACCACACAUGUGCAUACACACACACACUACUACUACUACUACUAUAAGUGGGAUUCACACACACGGUAUUUUGGAAUGUUUAAAAACCCAAAUCCUCCAAAGUGGGGUGAAAGUUAAAUACAACUUUCGGCAAUGGAUCUCUUGGUUCUCCUAUCGAUGAAGAACGCAGCGAAUUGCGAUAAGUAAUGUGAAUUGCAGAAGUCAGUGAAUCAUUGAAUUUUUGAACGCAUCUUGCGCCCUUUGGUAUUCCUUAGGGCAUGCCUGUUUGAGUGUCAUGAAUAUCAUUUGGACCAGGUCUUUUUUUUUAUUUAUUUAUUGACUUGACUCCAGCUUUGAGUGUUUGCCUUGCACUUUGAUUAGUUGCCUGGCUCACUUUAAAUACAUUAGCUGGGCUUGGCUGCUUUGCAACCUAUGGUAUGAUAAGUAUUAUACUGCAGGUUCAAAGUUAAAAAAGCUGCCUGCUUCCUAAUCUAGGGGCAGUGUCGCCAUGUGUCGAUGCUUUUGCCUACAAAAUUAUUCUAAUCUGGCCUCAAAUCAGGUAGGACUACCCGCUGAACUUAAGCAUAUCAAUAAGCGGAGGA
rnacentral:rRNA from 1 species